rnacentral:rRNA from 1 species
UACGUAGGUGGCAAGCGUUGUUCGGAAUUACUGGGCGUAAAGCGCGCGUAGGCGGCUCUUCAAGUCAGGCGUGAAAGCCCCGAGCUUAACUCGGGAACUGCGCUUGAUACUGUCGAGCUAGAGUGUGGAAGGGGCGAUUGGAAUUCCGUGUGUAGCGGUGAAAUGCGUAGAUAUACGGAGGAACACCAGAGGCGAAGGCGGAUCGCUGGGCCAACACUGACGCUGAGGAGCGAAAGCGUGGGGAGCGAACAGG